AUGGCAGCUCAUAGAAAUACAACGAGAACUCACUUGUUACCAUGGGGAUGGCACCAAGCGAUUCAAGAGGGACCCACCCCAAUGACCCAAACACCUCCCAGCAGGCCCCACCUCCAACAUUGGAGAUCACAUUUCAAC